rnacentral:rRNA from 1 species
GAUGAACGCUGGCGGCGUGCCUAAUACAUGCAAGUCGAGCGAACGGACGAGAAGCUUGCUUCUCUGAUGUUAGCGGCGGACGGGUGAGUAACACGUGGAUAACCUACCUAUAAGACUGGGAUAACUUCGGGAAACCGGAGCUAAUGCCGGAUAAUAUUUUGAACCGCAUGGUUCAAAAGUGAAAGACGGUCUUGCUGUCACUUAUAGAUGGAUCCGCGCUGCAUUAGCUAGUUGGUAAGGUAACGGCUUACCAAGGCAACGAUGCAUAGCCGACCUGAGAGGGUGAUCGGCCACACUGGAACUGAGACACGGUCCAGACUCCUACGGGAGGCAGCAGUAGGGAAUCUUCCGCAAUGGGCGAAAGCCUGACGGAGCAACGCCGCGUGAGUGAUGAAGGUCUUCGGAUCGUAAAACUCUGUUAUUAGGGAAGAACAGAUGUGUAAGUAACUGUGCACAUCUUGACGGUACCCAAUCAGAAAGCCACGGCUAACUACGUG